UACGAAGGGGGCUAGCGUUGUUCGGCAUUACUGGGCGUAAAGCGCACGUAGGCGGAUUGGUCAGUUAGGGGUGAAAUCCCAGGGCUCAACCCUGGAACUGCCUUUAAUACUGCCAAUCUAGAGUCCGAGAGAGGUGAGUGGAAUUCCGAGUGUAGAGGUGAAAUUCGUAGAUAUUCGGAGGAACACCAGUGGCGAAGGCGGCUCACUGGCUCGGUACUGACGCUGAGGUGCGAAAGCGUGGGGAGCAAACAGG
rnacentral:rRNA from 1 species